rnacentral:lncRNA from 1 species
UUUACCUCUUCGUUCCAAAUAUGUCUUGCAAUACAGUUCGGAUAAAGGGGCAGCACUGACAAGUCUGAUGAGCCUUAUCCAACCCCUUGUGGUGCUUGGGGUGUCUUUACUUCCUCCUGGGCCUGGGGUGCCUUAGGUACCUCUACCGCCUCCUGCACAUAGGGUACAUUUAGUGUAUGAGGUACCUCUUUUAUCUCGGAUGUCAGAACAACUGAAAUCUGUCACCUAUAGGAAGAUGGAGGCAAGGAUGCAUAAGUAGGUGACACCCGUCUCCUACGGGAAGAAGAAGGCGGAGAUACAUGAGCCCCAAAAGCUCACACCUCCACAUCAACCAGGCUAUAGGUAACAUGAGCCUGCAAAGGGUGAAUUUUUUUCCCUCUGCAUGUUGUGUAACCCUAUCCUACCUUAAUCAAUUUUUUCUAUCAGCAAUAAUCGAAGGCUUUUGAUGCUCAACAAACAUAAACGGAGAAAACGAAAAAACGCUUAUGUAAAAAAGCUGCAACGACAACGCGAUUCACAACUUCAACUUUCCGGAUUCACGUCUGGAUUGUGUUCAUCCUCAACUUCUUCUUCUUCUUCAGAUUAUGACGCGUCAAGUGAAGAGCAUGGAAUUGAAAUCAAGAAAACUCACCGGAUUGAAGCAUUGAUGCAACCAGGUAUGGAAUCUUAUCCUUCCCCCACUUCGACUUGCUUUCUUCUUUCAAAUUCCUCUGCGCUAUCGUGUACUCAUUGAUUUUGUGAUGAAUGGUUGUGAGAAAUGCGGCGAGGUUGGGAUUCUCUGAGAGUUGCGGAGAGAGAUUGAGAGUGGAGUGUUUGAUUUGUGCUGUAAUUUUUUCCGUGAAUUGUGACUGGAUGAAGAGUGAUGAACAAUGAUUUAUUGGACCCCUAUUCUGUUACGAAACUCACAUGAAGUUCAUCCUAAAAUUCACUUAUCAGUUAGAAAUUCAAUAGUUUGUUAGAGUUUAUAUGUUAGUUGGAAAUUAGUUUAGAAGUUAGUGAUUUUGGAUUUCAGUUAUUAGUUAGAAUGUUUUCAGUUUAAUCUCAGUUAUGAGGUGAAGAUGAGUUGUGCCACCUUUGUUAUUGAAAAGAAAUGUUUAGUUGGGAAAAAGUCAAUUUUUGUGAAAAAUGCUCAGACUGUUAGUUUGUUACUGCUGAAUGAUAUGCUUGGAUUGAAAUCAUGCUAUGGCUGCAACAUUCUGUUUUUGCCUAUUGCUAGUUAUUAGUUAAUUGUUGUUCUGUUAAUUGGAAAUGCAUUGCUAUGUUGGAUGAAACUCUGUAUGCAGUCAAAUCUAUUAGAAGUUUGUGUGGAUUAAAUUUCUAUUAGGCUCUGAUUCAAUUAAAUGAAAAUUAUGAAAUGUUGUUAUUCUAAUUGUUCUAUUAGUGAUCUACUGAUACGCUGUAAAAUAUUGUUAACUGCAAUGCUAGUGAUUGGUGUUAGUUUAUUAAUGUUAUGGAUGAAUGGUUAGAUAUGUGAAGUUAGUUGUAGUUGGAAGUUGUUAGUUUAAAAAUCUAAAGAGAGUGGUUAAUUGAAUAGUUCUGAAGGUUUUGUCGAUUUCAUUUUGCAAGUUAAGAACAGAAUGCAGGUGAACUGUUUGUGAAAGUUGCUGUUAGAAAAAAUGCAGGAUUAUAAUAAAUUGGUUUCGUUGUGAUUUUUUUAUGCAGGGCCUUUGUUAUGUAUGAUGCAGGUGAUUUAAUGUUGCUUUGUUAUGACUGUUAUGUAGGGUUGUGAUCAUUGGCUUGCUUGUGGAAAUUUGAUGCUUGGACAUGUUAAUCAUGGAGCUAUUGUGGGAUGUGAAUGCUAGGACAUGUUAUUGACGUAUUGUAUGGUGAUGUUGAAAAAUGACUUGGAACUUAGGAUUGUUAAUGGUUGGAUUUUUUUGUAAUUUUGAAAUUGACAUUGUAUUGGUUUGAAUGUAGGGUUAUGUAUUAUUAUGUUGUAAUUAGAAUUAAUGGCAUGGUUUGUGGUUUGUAAAUUUGAAUUGGUUUAGGUGUUGAAAUGUAAAAUGUGUAUGAAUUGAAUUCAAUUGAAUUGGAAUUGGCUUGUAAUUUGAAUCCGUUGAAUUGGAAUGUGAUUGUUAAGUUGUUUUGAAAUUUGAAUGGUUCAUGAUGUAAUGAGAGAUGAUUUGAGUUGAAAUUUGUACAUGGUUGGAAAUAGAAUGAUUGAAUGAAUGGUCAUGGCAUGGUUGAUGUAUGGGAAAUGUCUUGAAAUGUAUGAUUUGAAAUGGUUAUGUAAACAUUUUUUUGUAAUGGCAAAACCUAAA